rnacentral:rRNA from 1 species
GUACGAAGGGGGCUAGCGUUGCUCGGAAUCACUGGGCGUAAAGGGUGCGUAGGCGGGUCUUUAAGUCAGGGGUGAAAUCCUGGAGCUCAACUCCAGAACUGCCUUGAUACUGAGGAUCUUGAGUUCGGGAGAGGUGAGUGGAACUGCGAGUGUAGAGGUGAAAUUCGUAGAUAUCGCAAGAACACCAGUGGCGGAAGGCGGCUCACUGGCCCGAGUACUGAC